rnacentral:rRNA from 1 species
UGAUGGGGAUAACAGUUGGAAACGACUGCUAAUACCGGAUACGCUCAUGAUGAACUUUAUGAGGAAAGGUGGCCUCUGCUUGCAAGCUAUCGCAUAGAGAUGAGUCCGCGUCCCAUUAGCUAGUUGGUGGGGUAACGGCCUACCAAGGCAACGAUGGGUAGCCGAUCUGAGAGGAUGAUCGGCCACACUGGAACUGAAACACGGUCCAG